UAGAGUUUGUUUUUAUGUAUAAAGAAGCCACAGAGAAAUAGGUGGGAUUUAGGCUCAAUAGACUGGGCUGGUGGCAAACAUUCCUCUACCUAAUAGUUCCUUUUCUGUUUUCUUUUUCUCUAUCUAAUCCUUCCCUUGUUUCUUUUGCUACCCGCCCUCAUGUCUUUCAACAAUGAUCUCACUUUGUAGCCAAGGAUGACCUUGAACCUGCUGAUUUUCCUGCCCUUGCAUGCCAGUUGCCAGGGUUACAGGUGUGGAUUUGCACACUCAGCUAGGAAGAGGAUAUUUUAUGGAUUUAUUGUGAAGCUCAUUUUCUCGUGAGUGUUUACAGUGUUGCUAGAUAUCACCUAAAGCCUUAUUACACCAUUAGAGUUUAUAAGAGUCACUUGAACAGAUAUUUGCAAUAAUGGGGGUGGAGGGUGGUCAUCACCACCACUACCGUGGAACUGAACUUUGGACUUUUGUUCUGAUUAAAGUUAAUAGGCAGUUUAGUUGUCUUAUUUUUCUUUUUUUCAGACAGCGUCUCACUAUGAAACUGCUCCUGGGCUAGAAUUCUCUAUGUAGACCAGGCUGACCCAGAAACGCACAUCCUUCUGCCUCCUAAGUGAUGGGAUUGGAGGUGGCAAGGCAGUUUCUUUUUAAGCUAACUCACUUCCUGUGUUCAACCAGUGAAGUUCUUAGAUUGCCCCCCCCCCACCAUAUUUCAUAUAACUGCUAGAGCUGUGUAGUUUUUUUACUAAUAGCUUCAGAGUUAUUGAAUACCGAGGAGUUAAGUGGUAUGAUUGGGAUGUCUUACACAACUCCCUACAGGAAAGCCUGAGUUCCAGACGUUGUAUUUUACCUGAAACAUAGAAGUUGCUCACUAAGACAGCUGUUUAUAGAAUGAAUGAAUUUGUGAUUGAAUAAUAAUAAAAACCCUCAAGUUUUGAUGUUAGUCCAUCCUUAACUGGCCAUUUUGAGUGUCCUGAAUUAUCAUGUCAACCUAAUAACGAAUUCUUUUUUUUUCUUUUCUUCUUCGUUUUUUCUUUCUUCCCUUUCUGUUUGAAACAAAGUCUCACAGUAUAGCUGAAGCUAGACUGGAACUCAUGUAGUUCAGCCUGCCUUCAGGCUUGUGAUCAUUCUCCUGCCUCAGCUUUCACUGUGUGUUCAUAAGGGGUGAGAUGAUAUGCAUAGUUAAUUAAAAACAGUUGGCAAUGCUGUGGUUGAGCCUGACUCACUGUACCCUGUCUGAAACAUAACUAACAACAAAGGAGCAGCUUGGUUUGUUUUCCUUGUGAUUU
rnacentral:lncRNA from 1 species